GUUAGCGGCGGACGGGUGAGUAACACGUGGGUAACCUACCUAUAAGACUGGGAUAACUUCGGGAAACCGGAGCUAAUACCGGAUAAUAUUUCGAACCGCAUGGUUCGAUAGUGAAAGAUGGUUUUGCUAUCACUUAUAGAUGGACCCGCGCCGUAUUAGCUAGUUGGUAAGGUAACGGCUUACCAAGGCGACGAUACGUAGCCGACCUGAGAGGGUGAUCGGCCACACUGGAACUGAGACACGGUCCAGACUCCUACGGGAGGCAGCAGUAGGGAAUCUUCCGCAAUGGGCGAAAGCCUGACGGAGCAACGCCGCGUGAGUGAUGAAGGUCUUCGGAUCGUAAAACUCUGUUAUUAGGGAAGAACAUACGUGUAAGUAACUAUGCACGUCUUGACGGUACCUAAUCAGAAAGCCACGGCUAACUACGUGCCAGCAGCCGCGGUAAUACGUAGGUGGCAAGCGUUAUCCGGAAUUAUUGGGCGUAAAGCGCGCGUAGGCGGUUUUUUAAGUCUGAUGUGAAAGCCCACGGCUCAACCGUGGAGGGUCAUUGGAAACUGGAAAACUUGAGUGCAGAAGAGGAAAGUGGAAUUCCAUGUGUAGCGGUGAAAUGCGCAGAGAUAUGGAGGAACACCAGUGGCGAAGGCGACUUUCUGGUCUGUAACUGACGCUGAUGUGCGAAAGCGUGGGGAUCAAACAGGAUUAGAUACCCUGGUAGUCCACGCCGUAAACGAUGAGUGCUAAGUGUUAGGGGGUUUCCGCCCCU
rnacentral:rRNA from 1 species